GGAUCCAGACUUUGAUCAUGGCUCAGGACGAACGCUGGCGGCGCGCCUAACACAUGCAAGUCGAACGGAGAUUACAGGCGGAAGUUUUCGGAUGGAAGCUUGUAAACUUAGUGGCGGACGGGUGAGUAACACGUGAGCAACCUGCCUAUCAGAGGGGGAUAACGAUUGGAAACGAUCGCUAAUACCGCAUGACAUAGCGGAACCGCAUGGUUCUGCUAUCAAAGAUUUUAUCGCUGAUAGAUGGGCUCGCGUCCGAUUAGAUAGUUGGUGGGGUAACGGCCUACCAAGUCGACGAUCGGUAGCCGGACUGAGAGGUCGAACGGCCACAUUGGGACUGAGACACGGCCCAGACUCCUACGGGAGGCAGCAGUGGGGGAUAUUGCACAAUGGGGGAAACCCUGAUGCAGCGACGCCGCGUGAGGGAAGACGGUCCUCUGGAUUGUAAACCUCUGUCUUCGGGGACGAAAGUAGACGGUACCCGAGGAGGAAGCCACGGCUAACUACGUGCCAGCAGCCGCGGUAAUACGUAGGUGGCAAGCGUUGUCCGGAAUUACUGGGUGUAAAGGGAGCGUAGGCGGGCAGGCAAGUCAGGCGUGAAAUAUAUCGGCUCAACCGGUAACGGCGCUUGAAACUGCAGGUCUUGAGUGAAGUAGAGGUUGGCGGAAUUCCUAGUGUAGCGGUGAAAUGCGUAGAUAUUAGGAGGAACACCAGUGGCGAAGGCGGCCAACUGGGCUUUUACUGACGCUGAGGCUCGAAAGUGUGGGGAGCAAACAGGAUUAGAUACCCUGGUAGUCCACACCGUAAACGAUGAUUACUAGGUGUGGGGGGACUGACCCCUUCCGUGCCGGAGUUAACACAAUAAGUAAUCCACCUGGGGAGUACGGCCGCAAGGUUGCAACUCAAAGGAAUUGACGG
rnacentral:rRNA from 1 species